GACGAACGCUGGCGGCGUGCUUAACACAUGCAAGUCGAACGGAAAGGCUCCAGCUUGCUGGAGUACUCGAGUGGCGAACGGGUGAGUAACACGUGGGUAAUCUGCCCUGCACUCUGGGAUAAGCCUGGGAAACUGGGUCUACUACUGGAUAUGACCUUUCUCCUUAUGGGGUUUGGUGGAAAGUUUUUCGGUGUAGGAUGAGCCCGCGGCCUAUCAGCUUGUUGGUGGGGUGAUGGCCUACCAAGGCGACGACGGGUAGCCGGCCUGAGAGGGUGAUCGGCCACAUUGGGACUGAGGUACGGCCCAGACUCCUACGGGAGGCAGCAGUGGGGAAUAUUGCACAAUGGGCGGAAGCCUGAUGCAGCGACGCCGCGUGAGGGAUGACGGCCUUCGGGGUGUAAACCUCUUUCAGCAGGGACGAAGCGUAAGUGACGGUACCUGCAGAAGAAGCACCGGCUAACUAUGUG
rnacentral:rRNA from 1 species